AUUCAGCUGGGGUAUUUUGAAGGUGAUAAGUAUAUAAAUUCAACUAAAUCUAUCGAAUAAUGUAGAAUAGUCCAUCGUAUUCAACCAAAAUGAAUUCUGCAAUUACUUGUUUGGUUGUACUCGCGUCUCUGUUCUGUGUGGGAUCUGCAAUUUCAUAUUGCGACAUUUAUCCCAUGUUACCUGUUUGUGCAGCAAAAACAACAACAACAACAACAACAACACAAAAACCAGCAUUUGAUAUUUGUGCUUUUCAACCUAGCCAUUCGAGCUGCCAGCAAGUUGAAGUUAUAGAACCCGCAUAUUGUAAAGUGUUUC